GUGAAUCAUCGAAUUUUUGAAAGGAGAGGGGAGGAGAGGGGAUUCCGGAGAGUAUGCCUGUUUGAGGGUAAUUAAAAACAAUCUUUAACCAAUUUUUUUGGUCAAAGGAAAUGAGUUCUCCGCGUUUAUAGCGGUAGCUUGAAAUAAAUGGUCAAGUCUCAUUUUAGUCGAGACGCGUAAUAAUAUUAUUUCGCGAAAUCUUCAUUAUGUGACUAUCAAGUUUUGACGCAUAGAAAUUUGGUGUGUUUGCGAUCAAUACAAAUAGUUGUAACAUUACCUCAAAUCAGGUAGGAGUACCCG
rnacentral:misc_RNA from 1 species